GUCCCUGUAGCGCAAUGGACAGAGUGUUGGACUUCUAAUCCAAAGGUCAUGGGUUCGAAUCCCGAUUGGGAUG